rnacentral:lncRNA from 1 species
AGAAAGGCAAACGGGUGCUUGGAGGCGUUGGCCACACCGUCAGCGAAGCGCUGUGGAUUGAACUCGUUGGCAUCUUCGCCCCACACUUCCUUGUCGUGGAGGAUAGAGAGUAUCGGCACGAGAACGCCGGUUCCCUCUGGAACAAUCAAGUUUCCCAGCUUCGUGUCCUCCAUGGCCGUGCGGACCAAGAACACGGCCGGUGGAUACAGCCGCAGUGUCUCGUUGAGCACCAUUCCCACCUGGAAGGAAACGAGAACAGUGAGAACGAGAGGAGAAAAGCAAGAUUUUGCUCACGAUCUUCAGCUUGCUGGCUGGGAAGACUUGCAAACUUCCAGUACCUCUGCUCGAGCACGCUCUUGCCAAGUCGGGUUUGUGGCGAGCAGCAUCAUCGCCCAAGUUAUCAGCUUGGCUGUGGUUUACGUAAAGCAUCGUCGCCCACGUCACCAGUCAAACAGCGACUUGGCGCCCUCCACGUGGCCGCUGUCCGCGAACGCUGCCAGCGUGGCAUUCCAUGUCACCAGGUGGCGCUCCGGCAUUUUGUCAAACAGGUCCUCGAGGUCGCCGCCCUGCGACAUCGCCGCGAUCAGGGCCGUGCAGUUCACGAGGGGCAUCGCGCGGGAUAUCCGCGUCGUGGUCGCGUGGUCCCUGCCGCCGCGAUCACUGUCGCCGACGACCUCACGUCCCGCGUGGGCAUCCGACGAUAGAGAUCCGCUGCCGCGUCAAUCUGCGAUCAUCGUGGUCCACGACGUGAGGGUUUUCUCUGGAAUGGAUUCGAACACGUGACACGCCUCUGCUAGCACGGUGUUUUUCUGGGGUAUACGCUUUUGCUUGAUCUACUAAGUGGCCUUGUGUGUAUGCUCUGAUCAUCGCAGUGAAAGACACAACGUCCCACUCGGGCAUAGUAGCUUCGCUUGAUCGAAACCGCCACCCUCGGCAUAAGCAGAUAUCAUGCAGUUACGCGAGAUCAAAUCCCUCUCGGGCAUCUCGUCAAACAUCAGCCGAGCGCCACGCAAAUUCCCGGACUGGGCGCGCGCGCCCAUCACGGCAGUCAAAGCGAUUGGGUUCCAGGAGGGGAUUCGAUCCAGAAGCGCUUUCGCCUUCGUGGGUGUAUGCCGCGAGCAGAGCAUUCCAGGAUGCCAGAUCUCUCUCCGGCAUCUCGUGGAAGAUCUCCUCGGCCUUCGCGGCAUGCCCCGCCCGGGCAAAUGCCGCGACCAUCGCGUUCCAGGCGAUGGAAUCCCUCUCGGGCAUUUUCAAGAAGAGCUCCUUCGCAUCCUCGAUUCGCCCCCUCUCGGCAAGCGCGCACACCAUGGCUGUCCACGACACAAGAUUCUUGCAGGGCAUCGACACAAACACGGCCUGCGCGCCAUCGAGAUCCCCGUGCCGCGCAUCAUCUGCACCCACGAGAAGGCAUCCUUGCAGGGCAUGGCGUCGAAGAUCGCUCGCGCCUCGCGCACGCUCCCGCAGCGCCCAUACAUCUCGAUGAUCUUGUUGGGCACGAAGGUGUCAGUGGCGGCGGCCGUGGCGAGCUCCUGGAAUGCGGCAUGGAGCUCCCUGGCCCUGGAGAGAUCGUUGCAGCUCUGGAUCAAGCCCACGCACUGAGCUCGAUCGAGCAUAGGAUAGCAAGCGUGCUCUGAUCAUGACAAAGAAAACCACGUCUUCCGAGGCAUAGAAAGAAAGAAAUCCCUUGAUCCAAUUCGAUUCAAACAGAAUAUAAUUGUUUAGAAGAGAAUGGGAGAACACACUUUUGUCAUGGCCCCGUCACCGGAGGGGUCUUCGGUGGAGGCCUAUACCCCUCGACAUUUUGGAUAGGCAGGGUAAACCGGCUCUCCACCUUCUGGAUGACAAUUGAGAGUAGAAUCAAAAUCACAACUUGAAGAGCGUAUUGCCAAACCCGUUGCAUUGUUUUCGUGCAUGAUCUUUUCUCGUGUGCAUGAUCAAAACAUAUAUACCAAACAGCAGCUUGACUAAAAGUCUCGUUUUCUACAAAAUCGUGCUUCACUUUUGACUGUCAUUUCCAUAUCGAACGAGGUCAAACUGGAGAGCUUCCCCCUUGUGUGACAAUUUUCACGAUGCUCACAAUGCGAUCCUACGGCAAAGAACGAUUCAAAGAGAAUAAAAUGUUUAGGAGAUAAAAAGAACACAUAAAGUAUAAUUGUCAUGGGCUCAGGGGUUUUAUUCGAGGCCUAAAUUUGAAAUUAGACUCCUGGUCCUCUCCAUUAUGAAUGACAAAUGAAAAUGCUGUGAAAAUCACAACAAGAGCAUAUCGCCAAACGCAUACCAUUGUCUGCUUGCAUUAAUCUUUCUCGUAUGAUCAAACUCUAUAUAUACAAACAAGCACUCAACGUCUCGUGAUGUACAAAGUCGUGGUUCACUCCGACUUUAGACUUUUCAGUAAAAAAUUUCGUCUUGAUCGAAUGAGGUCAAACUGGAGUUCAUCCAGCAGCUUCCAUUCUCACGUUUUGAAAGAGCCCAUUCUCACAAUCAGAUUAGAAAUGGCUCUGAUGGAGAUUGUCUCUCCCGGAACAUCGCCAUUUGCCGGCAUUGCAAGGAGGGCCGGAUCCAAAUGGCUAAACAGCUCUUCGAUGCAAUGCCAGUCCAGAACCUGGUGGCAGCAACCGCGCUCCUGGAUGCAUAUGCCCGCGUGGGGCAUUUUGACUGCGCUCGGGGCAUCGUCAGUCAAAUGCCUGUGAUGGAUUCGGUAUCAUCCAUUACCAUCGUCACAGCGUACGCGAGAUCAGGCAAUUUCGAAGGAGCGGCAAUGGGUUUUGAAGAAACGCCACACAAGGAUAUUGUUUCCUGGAACUGUUUGCUUGCUGCGCAUGCCCUGGCAGGGCAUUUGAAGGACGCUCUUAAGAUUUUUUACGCGAUGCCGCUGUGGAAUCUAGUUUCCUGGACUUCAAUGCUUGUUUGUCAUGCACGAAACAAUAAGUUGGUAGAAGCUUGGAAUCUUUUCUGCUUGAUGCCUGAGAGGGACUUCAUUUGCUGGAGCUCCAUGCUUUCUGCUUAUACCAUCAAUGGGCAUAUUCUUGAAGCCGAGAACAUCUGUUUCCAGAUGCCUCUCACGAACUUGGUCUCGCGGACGGCUCUUCUUAGCAUGUACGCGCAGUACGGAAAGCUGGAGAAAGCAAAGAAAACGUUUGAUACUAUGCCCGAGCACAACAUUGUUUCGUGGACUUCGAUGCUCUCGGCAUAUUCCUAACACGGGCAUAUUGACUUGGCCAUUGGAAUCUUUCACGCGAUGCCAGAAUCCAACCUUUUCUCUUGUAACUUGUUACUGUCGGCAGUUUCUUCCAGUGGCGACGUGACGAUGACAAAACAAGUAUUCGACGACAUGCCCGAGUGGGACUUGGUAUCUUACAAUGCCCUUCUUGCGGCAUAUGCUCAAAACGGGCAUCUAAUAUGUGCUAUUGGGAUAUUCUCUACCAGGGAUCUCGCUUCUUUUACUUGUGUGCUUGCAGCAUACGCGGAUGCUGGGAAUCUAGAAGAAGCUAAGCGGAUCUUUACUAGAAUGCUGGUAUGGGAUGUUGUGGCGUGUGGUGCUAUGUUGUCCGCAUAUUCCAGUUCGUGGCAUCUGGAAGAUACUAAACGCCUGUUUAAAUCGAUGUUGCAAAGGAAUCUGGUUUCAUGGACUACAAUGAUGACAGCGUAUGCCCAGUAUGGGCAUAUUGAAGAAUCUAAAAGCAUGUUUGACAGUAUGCCGGAGAAGAAUCUGGUGGCAUGGAAUGCCAUGCUUGUAGCAUAUGCCCAGCUAGGGGACGCUGACAUGUCACGCCACCUUUUCCAGCAGAUGCCUCAACGGGAUGUCAUGUCUUGGAACUCCCUUCUCUUUGCGCAUGCCAACACAGGGAACGUUCCAUGCACUGAAAAGAUGCUUGCUCGCCUUCCAGAAGAGAACCUCACGUCUUGGGAAUGCCUGGAUAUCGGCGCUGUGCCACAACGGCUACUCGGCAAAGGCCUUGGAUGCGUUUAGCAGGCUCCGGCUAUGCCAUCUCCCCAAUGGGACGAGCUUCGUCACAAUGCUCAUAGCGUGGAAACACGAAGGGAAGUUACGUGCCGGGAGAUCUUUCUUCGUUUCCAUGUCAAUGGACUAUGGCUUGCAGUUCCAGAGGCAGCACUACUGCUGCAUGGUCGAUCUUCUGGCGAGGGGUGGCUACUUGGAGGACGCGGAGGACCUGAUCGCCAACAUGCCCUUUGUGCCCGAGCCCAGGGAGUGGCUAUGCCUCCUCGGAUCCUGCCGCUCGCACAGAGUGGUUGCCAACAUUUUACAAGUCCCAAGCAUAAAGUUACCAGUUGCGUCGUCAACUUUCUUACACUCCUCUUCGGCUAAGGAGGAGAGGCAUGCCAUGCUUUGGCGUUAGAGUAAGGCGCAGCACAGGGCUGUGCUGGUAACUUGGCGAUAUCUCGAAGCUAAACCUGUGGAGGAUCAUGGUCAGCGCAACCUUGGCCUCCAUGAGAGCGAAUCCUUGGCCGAGGCAAACCCGGGGCCCGUGAGAGAAGGGGAGAAAGGCAAACGGGUGCUUGGAGGCGUUGGCCACACCGUCAGCGAAGCGCUGUGGAUUGAACUCGUUGGCAUCUUCGCCCCACACUUCCUUGUCGUGGAGGAUAGAGAGUAUCGGCACGAGAACGCCGGUUCCCUCUGGAACAAUCAAGUUUCCCAGCUUCGUGUCCUCCAUGGCCGUGCGGACCAAGAACACGGCCGGUGGAUACAGCCGCAGCGUCUCGUUGAGCACCAUUCCCACCUGGAAGAGAACGAGAACAAUGAGAAACGAGAGGAGGAAAUCUAGAUCUUGCUCACGAUCUUUAGCUUGCUGGCUGCUUCUGAAUCCGGGACGCCAGACUUACAAACCUCCAGCACCUCAGCUCGAGCACGCUCUUGCCAAGUCGGGUUUGUGGCGAGCAGCAUCAUCGCCCAGGUUAUCAGCUUGGCUGUGGUUUC